CUCCUCCUCCUCCUCCUCCCCGCCGGGGUGAAACUCGAGCGCCCCACCCGCGCCUGACCUCCCCGAGCCCCUCCCCGGGCCCCGCCCCUUCCCGGUACAGGACCCCCACCUUCGCUCCUGGGAGCCCCGCUGCACCCCAGGAGUUCCAUUCCAGCCUCCCCAGUGCGAGUGCGGCCGAGCGCUGACUUUUGGGGGCUCCCUCCCCCGUCUCACUGGGUCCCUCUGCGGCUCCCCCGCCCGCUGUCCCGGUUCAGACGUGGCUGCACCCCGGAGGGGGGCGCCGGCCGAGACCUGAGACGUGGCGCUCCCUCUCUGCCGGCCUCGGCUUCAGUGCUUGAAUUUCAGCCACAUCCCUAAGCUGCCAUCUCAGACCAGAGGAACAGGGAGGGGGGCUUUCUGGAAAGAACAUCACCUGGAAGAAAUCAGGACAUGACUGUGGGCCAUGAGUGACCUUCAAAGGAAAGCCGGGUAUCUGUGGUCUUUAAGAUGUGAUCCAUGACAUUUAAAAACUGAAGAAAUGGAAAGAUCAUCUGAUCAGGCCCAUCAGUCUUUUUCCUAAUGCUAAACAUUGGUACAAAGACGUGAAGUUUGAUGUCUCACUAAGAUUGCCUAGGGCUGCUUUAUUGCUCACCUACUUCAAAGUAUUGGGAAAACAUGAUUAUGGGUACAGGUGAUGCUGUGUUGCCCCCAGACAGGUUUCUUUUGUCAGGUUCUUUUGAUGGAUUAGGAACCUACAAGUGGGGAGAUUUUAGGGAAAUAGCCCCUCCACUUGGAUUUCACCAAAACGUCUUUAGGGUUCUCUUACCCCAAGAAACACGCAUUCCUCUUUAGUGUGGCAGCCCACUCUAUUGGCAAAGUUAAGCAGACCAGUUUUACUAAAAAGGAGCCACCCAGAAACUUAGACAGAAAAUACUUGAGGCACAGAUGAGAAUGAGCACAAAUGUGCAUAGCAAGUGCAGUUUCCUGGCCCUUAAACUGAAGGGCCAGGUCAGUCUGCUCCUCCAGGCACAGCCUGGGACCCCAUCAUGUGCCCCACUCUGCAGUCUGAGCUUCCACUCAAGUCCACCAGGGCCUGCCUCACAUAUAUAUACAAGACCCAAUGUCAGAGUCUGCCUCUGCCCAUGUCUGGUCAGAGGGUUGCACUUUGCCACUGCUACAUGUUCCCAGAGGUUGGCACAGCAUGACCUGGACCUCACCUAACCCAGGCAAACUCUGCUCAUCUUCGAGCUCUCUGGAACCCAUUUCUCAAGGGAGAACCACAUUCCCCCACCUCACAGCCAAGUUCAAGGAAGCAGCCUGGCUAAAGCAAUGACUCAAGGAUACCAGAAGCAGAGCACGCAUUUAAGAAGAUGCGCUGACUCGCAGGAGCAGCUGACUCUUCUUAAGAAGAGUUUACUGAUUCUUCUUUCAGUACGGGCCUUUUAAUAAGAUAUUGUAUUUUACUUCAGCUAUGGGUGCAGACAAUUAAAGGAUUCUAGAAAUCUGAAA
rnacentral:lncRNA from 1 species